rnacentral:rRNA from 1 species
AGUGAACGCUGGCGGUAGGCCUAACACAUGCAAGUCGAACGGCAGCACAGUAAGAGCUUGCUCUUACGGGUGGCGAGUGGCGGACGGGUGAGGAAUACAUCGGAAUCUACUUUUUCGUGGGGGAUAACGUAGGGAAACUUACGCUAAUACCGCAUACGACCUACGGGUGAAAGCAGGGGAUCUUCGGACCUUGCGCGAUUGAAUGAGCCGAUGUCGGAUUAGCUAGUUGGCGGGGUAAAGGCCCACCAAGGCGACGAUCCGUAGCUGGUCUGAGAGGAUGAUCAGCAACACUGGAACUGAGACACGGUCCAGACUCCUACGGGAGGAAGCAGUGGGGAAUAUUGGACAAUGGGCGCAAGCCUGAUCCAGCCAUACCGCGUGGGUGAAGAAGGCCUUCGGGUUGUAAAGCCCUUUUGUUGGGAAAGAAAAGCAGCAGGUUAAUACCCCGCUGUUCUGACGGUACCCAAAGAAUAAGCACCGGCUAACUUCGUG